UUCCUACGGGGGGAGAAGGGGGGGCAAAGGGCGAAAGCCUGAUCCAGCCAAUGCCGCGUGUGUGAAGAAGGCCUUCGGGUUGUAAAGCACUUUUGUCCGGAAAGAAAUCCUUGGUUCUAAUAUAGCCGGGGGAUGACGGUACCGGAAGAAUAAGCACCGGCUAACUACGUGCCAGCAGCCGCGGUAAUACGUAGGGUGCGAGCGUUAAUCGGAAUUACUGGGCGUAAAGCGUGCGCAGGCGGUUUGCUAAGACCGAUGUGAAAUCCCCGGGCUCAACCUGGGAACUGCAUUGGUGACUGGCAGGCUAGAGUAUGGCAGAGGGGGGUAGAAUUCCACGUGUAGCAGUGAAAUGCGUAGAGAUGUGGAGGAAUACCGAUGGCGAAGGCAGCCCCCUGGGCCAAUACUGACGCUUCAUGCACGAAAGCGUGGAGCAAACAGGAUUAGAUACCCCGUAGUCAAAG
rnacentral:rRNA from 1 species